CUAUCAAUUAGAUCCUUUAUCCAUAGAAUAAACUAUCUAGGCAUAUCGAUUUCUCAUAUUUCGACUUCUAUGAAGUUUCUUUCUUUGCUACAGCUGAUAAAAAUCGUUUUGCACGAUGCAUAUGUAGAAAGCCUAUUUUUUUUUUCGAGUAUUAUUAGUGUAUUGCUCUUUACCCCCCCUCCUUUUUUUUUUCUUUACUUUUUUCUUUCUAUAGUAGAGAUAGUCGCACGUAAUGACAGAUCAACAGCCAUAUUAUUAAAAGCUUGUGGUAAGAACGGAUUUCGUUCUAGUGCCCGAAAAUAAAUUCUAAAGCUUUUGUAUGUUCUCCGUUACUUGUGUGGAUAAGGCCUAUGUUAUAGAGUAUAUAGCUUCGAUCGUAAGGAUCAAUUUCUAGUCGCAUAGCUUCAUAAUAAUUCUGUAAAGCUUCCGCAUAAUUGCCUUCAGAUUGAGCUGACAUCCCGUUACGGUCGUCAUUCGAUUCAAAGAAUUCUCCGUUUCAAAACCGUACAUGAGAUGAAAAUCUCAUACGGCUCCUCCUUUAUGUGCAUUAUGAGAAUAAUCCAUGAAAUCAAAAAAGAUUGAAAUAUUCUCAUUAUGAACUAAGUGGGGCUAAUGUUUUUACAAGAAAUCUCUAGCCAACCUUCCUGCAAAAGCUUUUUUCUUAAUAUCACGCGUGUUGGUACUAGAUAAAACCGGAAACUCCAACAAUUCUUUGUUCUCAACGCCCCUUAAUUUACAGGAAUUAAUCACUUCAACAGUCUUCGAUGGUUAUACGGGUAUCCACAGUUACGAACGAGAUGGAUGUUUGUUAUCCCAACCAUUCUUCUUAGUCCCGAUCCCGCUAAGGAAAGGGGCAGCUUAUAACAAAGUUUUCGUGUUGCUGAUUCCUAGACGUAGCGCCUCUUCCCCUAUGCCGCCUAUUGGUACUGCGGUGUAGUAGGGUUGACUUGCAAUACAGAACCCAUAGGUGUAACCUUCGCUCAAUACUAGAAUCGACAAUUGAAGCAUCUGAGGCUGCAUUAAUCGGGGAUACACGACAGAAGGAAUGGUUUUAUCUAUAAACUUCACCUUCAACAAGCGUAGAUUUUUUCAAUAAUCUUUUUUUUUUUUUUUCUAUCCCGAAUGUCUUUCUUUCUCUAAGACCGAAAGGGGUAAAUAAAAAAACUAAUCAAAUCGCACCAUCUCUGUAAUAGGUAAAUGCCUCUUUUCUCCUACAGUUGUCGGAAUUAUUCGUAAUAAUAUAUUGGCUACAAUCGAAAAGGUCUUAUCAAUAAAAUUUCCGUUUAUCCGCGAUCUAGGCAUAGGUAAAAAUCCAUUCUAUAAUUCGUUUCAUUACCUCUUGUGAGAAAAUGAUCCCACAAACAAAGGAAUUGUACAGUACAAAAUAACAUAAAAGCAGACGUGUUAAAAAAAAUAAAAAAAAAAAAUAGACCGAUCCGUUGAUUCGUUCCAACUCAUUGAUUAAAUCAGGUAGAAAUAUCAGAAAAAAAAAAAAAAAAAAAAAGGAGCGCCAUCUUUGCAAACAAGAUAUAUAGCCUUAUUGUUUUUGUUUUGAACAGUUUUUCACAAACAAAAAAGUUAUCCUUUUCCCCAGACUCAAAGGAAGAAUUUUCUUUGCUGAAAGGGUUUCUAUUUUCUAGUUAGAACGGAUUCGAUUGUCCGUACCCAUCUACCAAUCGAAUUGAACAACUCGCUAUUCACGCGGUCUCGGUCAUAAUCAUUGUGUAGGAGAGAUGGCCGAGUGGUUCAAGGCGUAGCAUUGGAACGCUAUGUAGACUUUUGUUUACCGGGGGUUCGAAUCCCUCUUUCCGUACCUUGAACUAAUUCAUCAAUGUUACUGACCGAAUGUAUCCAAGCAAAAAAGAAUGAAUACCGAAGCAGUCAGACCUUUUUUGAGCUAGAUUCUCAAUUCCUACGGGAAAGAAAGGGAAGGGGCAGGCAGGGGAUAAAAAAUCUACCCUCGGAUCUAUGAUACAUGAAUGGAUAAAAAAAAACUCCACGGAUCAAACUCCUUACCUUGUAUCCCUUUCCUUAAGUUAGGUGAAAGGGUAAAUUUGUACGAGCCCGUUAUUUUAGUUAGGUUUAAGUUUGACGAGAAAUAAUAUUCUACGACAAGCAAUUCAUUUAUUUUCAAACCGACCCAUUGACUAUCUAUUAUUGAUUGACUAAUCCUUUAUAUUGGAAUGCGCGAAGAGUCAAAUGCUUUGGCAAUUCCUCAUGGUGGGAAUGAAUCAAGAUAAUUUGAACCAGAGAUCUAGAUUUGGUCAUCCCUUACUGUAAUAAUAUCUCGGGGUUUGCAACGAUAACUUGGUAUAUCGACUAUACGACCAUUAACUAAAAUAUGUCGAUGUUAACCAAUGCGGGCUUGAGGAAUAGUUGAAGCCAUACCCAAUCGAAAAAGAAUGUUAUCCAAACGCAUUCAAGUAAUUGUAGUAAAACCAGACCGGGUUGACCCUUUGGCUUUUCUGGCGAUACGAACAUAUUUAAGUAAUGUCGUUCUGUAAGACCAUAAAUGAAAACGCAAUUUUGUUUUUCUUCUAAACGAAUUCGAUAUUGAGAUUUUUUUACGGAGCGCAAUUGUUUCUAAAAUCGCUUCCGGCUCUAGGCCUUUUACUCGUAGUCCCGGCAAAGCCCCCAGACGGCGUAUUUUUUUGAAAACGAGGCCCUCGGUAACGUGACAUAAAGACUCCUUAUUUUAUUGAAUUUCAUAAACCUAAAUUAAAACUGAGCUACAUGAUAAAUGAAGCAAAAUCCGCUGAAGUAUUGUACUACAAAGAAUACUAAGAUGAUUUGUAUCAAAUUCCAGACCCCUUUUGUAUUGUAUACGCAUAUAGAAAUAUAAAUCAAAAGAGGGUUCCUUUUCUUGAUUUAUUCUGCCGAAAUCGAACUUCCUCCAACUUUUAUUCAUAAUUGGAACUCCUACAACAUACUGGAUCGAUGAUCCUUGGAAGAAGCCUUUUCAAUGUUCUUUUCUUUCAAAAAGACAUUAUCAAUCAUGUAAAAAAUCAAACAAAUAGAGAAAAGCCGGCUAUCGGAAUCGAACCGAUGACCAUCGCAUUACAAAUGCGAUGCUCUAACCUCUGAGCUAAGCGGGCUAAAUAAGAGAAAUUGUACAUGCGUAGGGAUCCUAGGAUCUUAUCUAUUAACCUUUUAUUCUUAGCUAUUCAUAAAGAAUAAAAUAGAGAAUCGAAUUCAAAUAAAUGUUGAAUACUAUAGAUAUAGAACAUAACGAUUAAUCUAACAAUUACGAGAAUCUAGUGAUGAUAUAUAUUAGCGAAUUUGGAUUUUUUUAUCAAUUCUAUAUUGAUCAACAAUAAAUAUCUUACUCUUAAUUAGAUAAUAAAAUACGAUUUGAAUUUAUUUAUUAUUUUUUUUUUUUUCAUUUUUGAAUUCAAGACAUUUAAAAUUAUUUUUUUGUUUCUAACCUAAGAUUCUUAAUAUAUUCUAUUCGAUUAUUCUAUAUUAUAGAAUAUACAUAAUAUUCGAUUAUUAUUCUAUAUUCUAUAUAUAUUUAGUUAUUCUAAAUCGAAUAUUAUAUUCGAUUCUUAUUAUCCAUUUUCGAAAUUCUAAAUUUGCUCUAUUCUAAUUCGAAAUAAUUAGGCUUUAGACUAAAUAAUUAGAAUUAUCUUCGAAUUCUAAUUUAAUUGACUGAGUAGUUAUAGCUAUUCUAUUGAUUAGGUCUAGCUAUUAUAUUCUAAAUGAUUAAUAAAAAUGAUUUAUUUUAUUUAAUAAAUUGAAAUUGGAAUUUGAGUUAUUUUUGGUUAUGUUAUAUAGGUUCUUCCUUAAGGAAAGGGCAAGUAUAAAUAGAAAAUGAAAUGAAAGAGAAAGAUACAAUCCCGCUAAAUGGAAUCUGGAUUAGAAUGAGACAUUUUUGUUUUCAUUCGAAAAGGGCGUAAGAAAAAACGAAAAAAUAAAUCGACCGUUCGAGUAUUCCGCCGGAUUGCACGAAAAAAAUGAGAGUAAGGGGGCAUAUAUAUUUUAUGGUAGUUUAUAUCCAUCUAUAUUGAAUUGCGGAUACAGAAAAGAUAGAAUCAUUUCUGACAAGAAAGCAAAACACCUUUCGAUAUAUAUAAAUCCAUAUCUACGGAAUUCUACUGUUUCCGCAGAAAUGAAAGAAAGGGGGAACAGCAUUGAGUUCCUAAAACACAAAGGGGAUAUGGCGAAAUUGGUAGACGCUACGGACUUAAUUGGAUUGAGCCUUAGUAUGGAAACUUACUAAGUGAUAACUUUCAAAUUCAGAGAAACCCAGGAAUUAAAAAUGGGUAAUCCUGAGCCAAAUCCUCUUCUCUUUUCCAAGAACAAACAGGGUUCAGAAAGCGAAAAAGGGGAUAGGUGCAGAGACUCAAUGGAAGCUGUUCUAACAAAUGGAGUUGACUGCCCUUUUUGGUAAAGAAAAAAGAAAGUCAAAUGAAUGCUUCUAUCGAAUAUCGAAACUCGAUAAAGGAUGAAGGAUAAGGGUAUAUAGACUAUGUAUACGCAGCGAAAAACUAACUCAAAAAUCACAACCAAAUACGUAUUUCUUUUUAUGAAAAAGAAAAGAAUUGUUAUUGUUAUGAAUCGAUUCUAAGUUGAAGAAAGAAUCGAAUAUUCCCGGCUCAAAUCAUUCACUCCACCUCCAUGGUCUGAUCGAUCCUUUCUUUUGACUUUUGAAGAACUGAUUAAUCGACGAGAAUAAAGAUAGAGUCCCAUUCUACAUGUCAAUAUCAAUACGGGCAACAAUGAAAUUUAGAGUAAAAGGAAAAUCCGUCGACUUUAGAAAUCGUGAGGUUCAAGUCCCUCUAUCCCCACCCCAAAAAAGGCCUAUUGACUCCCUAACCAUUUCUCCUACCUUCUCCUUUUUUGUUAGUGGUUCAAAAGUCGUAGGUUUCUCAUCUAUCCUACUCUUUUCCAUUUCCAAAAGGAUAUGGGCAGAAUUUUUUUCUCUUAUCACAAGCCGUAUGGUCUAUACGAUAUAUGUAGAAAUGAACACCUUUGAGCAAGGAAUCCCCGUUUUAAUGAUUCCCAAUCCAUAUUAUUGCUCAUACUGAAACUUACAAAGUCUUCUUUUUGAUGAUUCAAGAAAUGAAAUUCCCCUCCCAAGACUUUUAAUCCCUGUUUAUUUUUUAAUUGACAUAGACCCAAGUCAUCUAGUAAGAUGAGAACGGUGUGUCGGAAAUGGUCGGGAUAGCUCAGCUGGUAGAGCAGAGGACUGAAAAUCCUCGUGUCACCAGUUCAAAUCUGGUUCCUGGCAUAUGAUUAAUAUCUAUGAGUAUCUAUCACUACAAAUUCAGUGAUAUGGCUCGCCAUACAUAUUCAUUUAUAGAUCAUGAUACAUACAUACUUAUCCAUCUAGCUCGAUGUCUGGGAAUAGGCCUUUUUUUCUUUUAUUUUUUUUUUUAUUUUAUUUCUUCCUUCCCCUCUCUGUGACCCGCUAGAGCCCGUCCGAAGUGGUGUGCGCGAUACAAAGUUCAUGAUACAGAACUCUUUAAUUUCUUUAUCCCAUUCACAAUAAUAAUACGAAUGAGACUUCAAUUCCUCCGUUUGAUCUAGAGAAAGAAGUACAAAUAUUUCUUGAAUAUUGGGUCAAAAUGAGAUUAAUUUCUUAGAAUUCAAUAAGCAUCUUGUAUUUCAUAAAAAUUGGGGGCAAUAUAAUCCUUACGUAAGGGCCACCCUAUCCAACUUUCAGGCAUUAAGAUACGUUUCAGUCGUGGAUGAUUAUCAUAAAGGAUUCCCAGCAUAUCAUAAGAUUCCCGUUCUUGAAAAUUCGCACUUUUCCAAACCCAGAAAACCGAUGGAAUUUUAGGAUUACUCCUUGGAGCAAAUACUUUUAUGCAUACCUCUUCUGGUUGAUCUACACCAUACUCUAUUCGCGUAAGAUGAUACACACUGGCUAACAGUCCGCCGGUGCUACAUCAUAGGCACAUUGGGACCGUAGAUAAUUGUAGCCAUAUAUAUACAAAAUGACAGCAACGGAGUGCCAAUCCUCGGGCUUUAUUUGUAAAGUUUCUAUUCCUUGGUAAUCAAAGCCCAAAGAUCUAUGAACUAGCCCAUGCUUGACCAGCCAAGCAGACAAACGACCCUGCAUCUUUUUUAUCUCUCCCACAUUUUGAUUUCGAUAAAUAUUUCACAUUUACGAUGAAUUUUUGGAAUUUAUGAAGAUUAAUUCGCUCUUUCUUAUUCUGUACAAAUGAAUCCUCCUGCCUAAUUAAUGAAUUCGGGGGAAGAUACUGAACUUUUGUAUUUGAAAAAGGUUUCAGGCGGGAUUUCUGACGUAGAUGUGGUUGAUAAAGUAAUCCUUGAUCAUAAUUUCCAGUAUUAGUACUGCAUACAACACGAAACUUGUGAUUGGUAGUAAAAGUAAACGAGCGAUUCUCCCGUUGCAAUCGAAUUCGAUCUUCAUAGAUUUCUCGAGAUAUUUUCUUACGAAGUUUUGUUAUGGCAUCUAUAACGGCCUCUGGUUUAGCGGGCAACCCGGCAAAUAAACAUCCACGGGAAUUAGCUUAUCAACUCCUCGAACAGUACUAUACGAAUCGGUACUGAACAUCCCCCUGUAAUUGUACAUGCUCCCAUAGCAAUAACAUAUUUGGUUCAGGCAUUUGUUCAUAUAAUCUCACUAAAGAAGGAGCCAUUUUCAUUGUUACUGUACCAGCUGUUAAAAUUAGGUCCGCCUGUCUAGGGCUCGAUCUUGGUACCAGCCCAUAACGGUCAAAAUCGAACCGCGAGCCGAUUAAUGAAGCAAAUUCAAUGAAACAACAACUGGUACCAUAAAGAAGCGGCCAUAAGCUGGAGAGUCUUGACCAAUUUGAAAGAUCGUUGAUGUAGUUGAAAUAAAUGAAUUGGGGUUGUUCGAUCAAGUAAGGAAAAUUCAAUAGAAUUCAUAAUUCUCUCAAUGUUAUUUUUUGUUUUUUUUUUUUUUUUUUACUUUUUUGUUAAUUGUCUGAAUAUUCAGAAACUAAGACCACUCUAAUGCUCCUUUCGCCACGCAUAAACUAAACCAACAAUUAGGAUAAGCAUGAAAAUGAAAGCUUCUAUAAAUACGGUACCCCCAAUACAUCAAAACUCAUUGCCCAUGGAUAAAGAAAAACGGUUUUCAACAUCAAAAACAACAAAAACUAGAGCAAACAUAUAAUACCGGAUUCGAAAUUGUAACCAAGCAUCGCCCAUUGGUUCGAUACCCGAUUCAUAACUAGAAAGUUUCUCUGGCCCUUUGUUAAUCGGGGCUAAAACUGCGGAAAUUAGAAAUGCCAAAAUAGGAAUAACGCUGAUAUUAUUAGAAAUGCCCAGAAAAAUAUCAUAUUUGUAAAGCAGAAACAUAGCCAAACUCCUAUGAAUGUGGAAAAUAGACCAAAUUUGUCGAUGCAAAUGGAAUUCAUUGUCAAGUCAUCGAUAAUUGGUUAAUCAAAACAACAAUUCAUUUGAUCGAACCGCAAAGUUUCGUUUGUUGUUGUGAUGUCUCGUUUUAAGAUUUAUCGAUUGGAAUCCAUUUUCAUUACACUUCCUUCGAUUUUAUUUCAAUAUAGUAUAAAUCUCUUAUACAAACAAAACAAACAAAACCCUUUUGCGUUCACCGCGCUUCGGACUUGUCUAAAUCAAAGGAAGUCAAAAGAAAAUUCGAAUUUUUGUUUCGAAUUUCGAAUUCGAAUCUUCGAAAUUCAAUCGAUUUGAUUCUAUCUCAAUAUAUAGAAUAUUUUCUGUUUCUGAAUUAUGUUUAUGAAAAGCUAUUCGUUUUCAAACGCUGAGUGUCAACAAAUACCGUAAUCCGUUCCUAUAUCCAUGCGACUUACUAUUCCAUUUGAGUUGGGUUACGUCGGCGUCUCCCCGGAUUCGUGUCAUGAUUUUGACUCCGCAAAUUCACCAAAAGUAGGUGAGUAUACCAAAGAAAGGAAGUAUCAAUAACUCUUGAUUGUGAUGGGAACAGGAAAAGAGGCAAAUCCAUAUGGAAUUCCCAUACGAAGAUUAUUAUUAUUAAUUAUUGAAGAAAGAAAAAUGGGUUUGUUUAGCCGAAUCCGAGAUUCUAAAAAAAAAAUAGCGAUUAAAUCCAUUGAAAUGCGCUUUAGUUUUCAAUUUCAGUUUGAUGUUCUGCUCGGAACGAGCUCCCUCCGAGCGAGCUUUGGAAUGAUUUGAUUUCGAUGAACCACAAGCAACCCCAGCGACCAGUUACAAAACAACAAAAAUACAAUGAAUGAGGAAAUGAAAACUAUACAAUUUUGUGUUCUGUAUUCCAUUUUGAUAAGAAUUAGUUCGAUCUGUUUUAACCGAGAAGGUCUACGGUUCGAGUCCGUAUAGCCAUAAACUAAUCUCAAAUAAUAAUAAUCAAAAUGGAAAUACAGAAACACAAAAAUUGUAUAGUUUUCAUUUCCUCAUUCAUUGUAUUUUGUUGUUUGUAACUGGUCGCUGGGGGUUGCUUGUGGUUCAUCGAAAUCAAAUCAUUCCCAAAAGCUCGCUCGGAGGGAGCUCGUUCCGAGCAGAACAUCAAACUGAAAUGAAAACUAAAGCGCAUUUCAAUGGAUUUAAUCGCUAUUUUUUUUUAGAAUCUCGGAUUCGCUAAACAAACCCAUUUUUCUUUCUUCAAUAAUUAAUAAUAAUAAUCUUCGUAUGGGAAUUCCAUAUGGAUUUGCCUCUUUUCCUGUUCCCAUCACAAAUCAAAGAGUUAUUGAUACUUCCUUUCUUUGGUAUACUCACCUACUUUUGGUGAAUUUGCGGAGUCAAAAUCAUGACACGAAUCCGGGGAGACGCCGACGUAACCCAACUCAAAUGGAAUAGUAAGUCGCAUGGAUAUAGGAACGGAUUACGGUAUUGUUGACACCUCAGCGUUUGAAAAACGAAUAGCUUUCAUAAACAUAAUUCAGAAACAGAAAAUAUUCUAUAUAUUGAGAAUAGAAUCAAAAUCGAUUGAAUUUCGAAGAUUCGAAUUCGAAAUUCGAAACAAAAAUUCGAAUUUUCUUUUGACUUCCUUUGAUUUAGACAAGUCCGAAGCGCGUGAACGCAAAAGGGUUUUGUUUGUUUGUUUGUAUAAGAGAUUUAUACUAUAUUGAAAUAAAAUCGAAGGAAGUGUAAUGAAAAUAGGAUUCCAAUCGAUAAAUCUUAAAACGAGACAUCACAACAAACAAACGAAACUUUGCGGUUCGAUCAAAAUGAAUUGUUGUUUUGAUUAACCAAUUAUCGAUGACUUGACAAUGAAUUCCAAUUUGCAUCGACAAAUUUGGUCUAUUUUCCACAUUCAUAGGAGUUUGGCUAUGUUUCUGCUUUACAAAUAUGAUAUUUUCUGGGCAUUUCUAAUAAUAUCAAGCGUUAUUCCUAUUUUGGCAUUUCUAAUUUCCGCAGUUUUAGCCCCGAUUAACAAAGGGCCAGAGAAACUUUCUAGUUAUGAAUCGGGUAUCGAACCAAUGGGCGAUGCUUGGUUACAAUUUCGAAUCCGGUAUUAUAUGUUUGCUCUAGUUUUUGUUGUUUUGAUGUUGAAACCGUUUUUCUUUAUCCAUGGGCAAUGAGUUUUGAUGUAUUGGGGGUACCCGUAUUUAUAGAAGCUUUCAUUUUCAUGCUUAUCCUAAUUGUUGGUUUAGUUUAUGCGUGGCGAAAAGGAGCAUUAGAGUGGUCUUAGUUUCUGAAUAUUCAGACAAUAACAAAAAAGUAAAAAAAAAAAAAAAAAAACAAAAAAUAACAUUGAGAGAAUUAUGAAUUCUAUUGAAUUUUCCUUACUUGAUCGAACAACCCCAAAUUCAUUUAUUUCAACUACAUCAAACGAUCUUUCAAAUUGGUCAAGACUCUCCAGCUUAUGGCCGCUUCUUUAUGGUACCAGUUGUUGUUUCAUUGAAUUUGCUUCAUUAAUCGGCUCGCGGUUCGAUUUUGACCGUUAUGGGCUGGUACCAAGAUCGAGCCCUAGACAGGCGGACCUAAUUUUAACAGCUGGUACAGUAACAAUGAAAAUGGCUCCUUCUUUAGUGAGAUUAUAUGAACAAAUGCCUGAACCAAAAUAUGUUAUUGCUAUGGGAGCAUGUACAAUUACAGGGGGAUGUUCAGUACCGAUUCGUAUAGUACUGUUCGAGGAGUUGAUAAGCUAAUUCCCGUGGAUGUUUAUUUGCCGGGUUGCCCGCCUAAACCAGAGGCCGUUAUAGAUGCCAUAACAAAACUUCGUAAGAAAAUAUCUCGAGAAAUCUAUGAAGAUCGAAUUCGAUUGCAACGGGAGAAUCGCUCGUUUACUUUUACUACCAAUCACAAGUUUCGUGUUGUAUGCAGUACUAAUACUGGAAAUUAUGAUCAAGGAUUACUUUAUCAACCACCAUCUACGUCAGAAAUCCCGCCUGAAACCUUUUUCAAAUACAAAAGUUCAGUAUCUUCCCCGAAUUCAUUAAUUAGGCAGGAGGAUUCAUUUGUACAGAAUAAGAAAGAGCGAAUUAAUCUUCAUAAAUUCCAAAAAAUUCAUCGUAAAUGUGAAAUAUUUAUCGAAAUCAAAAUGUGGGAGAGAUAAAAAGAUGCAGGGUCGUUUGUCUGCUUGGCUGGUCAAGCAUGGGCUAGUUCAUAGAUCUUUGGGCUUUGAUUACCAAGGAAUAGAAACUUUACAAAUAAAGCCCGAGGAUUGGCACUCCGUUGCUGUCAUUUUGUAUAUAUAUGGCUACAAUUAUCUACGGUCCCAAUGUGCCUAUGAUGUAGCACGGGCGGACUGUUAGCCAGUGUGUAUCAUCUUACGCGAAUAGAGUAUGGUGUAGAUCAACCAGAAGAGGUAUGCAUAAAAGUAUUUGCUCCAAGGAGUAAUCCUAAAUUCCAUCGGUUUUCUGGGUUUGGAAAAGUGCGAAUUUUCAAGAACGGGAAUCUUAUGAUAUGCUGGGAAUCCUUUAUGAUAAUCAUCCACGACUGAAACGUAUCUUAAUGCCUGAAAGUUGGAUAGGGUGGCCCUUACGUAAGGAUUAUAUUGCCCCCAAUUUUUAUGAAAUACAAGAUGCUUAUUGAAUUCUAAGAAAUUAAUCUUCAUUUUGACCCAAUAUUCAAGAAAUAUUUGUACGUUCUUUCUCUAGAUCAAACGGAGGAAUUGAAGUCUCAUUCGUAUUAUUAUUGUGAAUGGGAUAAAGAAAUUAAAGAGUUCUGUAUCAUGAACUUUGUAUCGCGCACACCACUUCGACGGGCUCUAGCGGGUCACAGAGAGGGGAAGGAAGAAAUAAAUAAAAAAAAAAUAAAAGAAAAAAAGGCCUAUUCCCAGACAUCGAGCUAGAUGGAUAAGUAUGUAUGUAUCAUGAUCUAUAAAUGAAUAUGUAUGGCGAGCCAUAUCACUGAAUUUGUAGUGAUAGAUACUCAUAGAUAUUAAUCAUAUGCCAGGAACCAGAUUUGAACUGGUGACACGAGGAUUUUCAGUCCUCUGCUCUACCAGCUGAGCUAUCCCGACCAUUUCCGACACACCGUUCUCAUCUUACUAGAUGACUUGGGUCUAUGUCAAUUAAAAAAUAAACAGGGAUUAAAAGUCUUGGGAGGGAAUUUCAUUUCUUGAAUCAUCAAAAAGAAGACUUUGUAAGUUUCAGUAUGAGCAAUAAUAUGGAUUGGGAAUCAUUAAAACGGGGAUUCCUUGCUCAAAGGUGUUCAUUUCUACAUAUAUCGUAUAGACCAUACGGCUUGUGAUAAGAGAAAAAAAUUCUGCCCAUAUCCUUUUGGAAAUGGAAAAGAGUAGGAUAGAUGAGAAACCUACCGACUUUUGAACCACUAACAAAAAAAGGAGAAGGUAGGAGAAAUGGUUAGGGAGUCAAUAGGCCUUUUUUGGGGUGGGGAUAGAGGGACUUGAACCCUCACGAUUUCUAAAGUCGACGGAUUUUCCUUUUACUCUAAAUUUCAUUGUUGCCCGUAUUGAUAUUGACAUGUAGAAUGGGACUCUAUCUUUAUUCUCGUCCGAUUAAUCAGUUCUUCAAAAGUCAAAAGAAAGGAUCGAUCAGACCAUGGAGGUGGAGUGAAUGAUUUGAGCCGGGAAUAUUCGAUUCUUUCUUCAACUUAGAAUCGAUUCAUAACAAUAACAAUUCUUUUCUUUUUCAUAAAAAGAAAUACGUAUUUGGUUGUGAUUUUUGAGUUAGUUUUUUCGCUGCGUAUACAUAUCUAUAUACCCUUAUCCUUCAUCCUUUAUCGAGUUUCGAUAUUCGAUAGAAGCAUUCAUUUGACUUUCUUUUUUCUUUACCAAAAAGGGCAGUCAACUCCAUUUGUUAGAACAGCUUCCAUUGAGUCUCUGCACCUAUCCCCCUUUUUCGCUUUCUGAACCCCUGUUUGUUCUUGGAAAAGAGAAGAGGAUUUGGCUCAGGAUUACCCAUUUUUAAUUCCUGGGUUUCUCUGAAUUUGAAAGUUAUCACUUAGUAAGUUUCCAUACUAAGGCUCAAUCCAAUUAAGUCCCGUAGCGUCUACCAAUUUCGCCAUAUCCCUUUGUGUUUUAGGAACUCAAUGCUGUUCCCCCUUUCUUUCAUUUCUGCGGAAACAGUAGAAUUCCGUAGAUAUGGAUUUAUAUAUAUCGAAAGGUGUUUUGCUUUCUUGUCAGAAAUGAUUCUAUCUUUUCUGUAUCCGCAAUUCAAUAUAGAUGGAUAUAAACUACCAUAAAAUAUAUAUGCCCCCCUUACUCUCAUUUUUUUCGUGCAAUCCGGCGGAAUACUCGAACGGUCGAUUUAUUUUUUUCGUUUUUUCUUACGCCCCUUUUCGAAUGAAAACAAAAAUGUCUCAUUCUAAUCCAGAUUCCAUUUAGCGGGAUUGUAUCUUUCUCUUUCAUUUCAUUUUCUAUUUAUACUUGCCCUUUCCUUAAGGAAGAACCUAUAUAACAUAACCAAAAAUAACUCAAAUUCCAAUUUCAAUUUAUUAAAUAAAAAUAAAUCAUUUUUAUUAAUCAUUUAGAAUAUAAUAGCUAGACCUAAUCAAUAGAAUAGCUAUAACUACUCAGUCAAUUAAAUUAGAAUUCGAAGAUAAUUCUAAUUAUUUAGUCUAAAGCCUAAUUAUUUCGAAUUAGAAUAGAGCAAAUUUAGAAUUUCGAAAAUGGAUAAUAAGAAUCGAAUAUAAUAUUCGAUUUAGAAUAACUAAAUAUAUAUAGAAUAUAGAAUAAUAAUCGAAUAUUAUGUAUAUUCUAUAAUAUAGAAUAAUCGAAUAGAAUAUAUUAAGAAUCUUAGGUUAGAAACAAAAAAAUAAUUUUAAAUGUCUUGAAUUCAAAAAUGAAAAAAAAAAAAAAUAAUAAAUAAAUCAAAUCGUAUUUUAUUAUCUAAUUAAGAGUAAGAUAUUUAUUGUUGAUCAAUAUAGAAUUGAUAAAAAAAUCCAAAUUCGCUAAUAUAUAUCAUCACUAGAUUCUCGUAAUUGUUAGAUUAUCGUUAUGUUCUAUAUCUAUAGUAUUCAACAUUUAUUUGAAAAUUCGAUUCUCUAUUUUAUUCUUUAUGAAUAGCUAAGAAUAAAAGGUUAAUAGAUAAGAUCCUAGGAUCCCUACGCAUGUACAAUUUCUCUUAUUUAAGCCCGCUUAGCUCAGAGGUUAGAGCAUCGCAUUUGUAAUGCGAUGGUCAUCGGUUCGAUUCCGAUAGCCGGCUUUUCUCUAUUUGUUUGAUUUUUUACAUGAUUGAUAAUGUCUUUUUGAAAGAAAAGAACAUUGAAAAGGCUUCUUCCAAGGAUCAUCGAUCCAGUAUGUUGUAGGAGCUUCCAAUUAUGAAUAAAAGUUGGAGGAAGUUCGAUUUCGGCAGAAUAAAUCAAGAAAAGGAACCCUCUUUUGAUUUAUAUUUCUAUAUGCGUAUACAAUACAAAAAGGGGUCUGGAAUUUGAUACAAAUCAUCUUAGUAUUCUUUGUAGUACAAUACUUCAGCGGAUUUUGCUUCAUUUAUCAUGUAGCUCAGUUUUAAUUUAGGUUUAUGAAAUUCAAUAAAAUAAGGAGUCUUUAUGUCACGUUACCGAGGGCCUCGUUUCAAAAAAAUACGCCGUCUGGGGGCUUUGCCGGGACUAACGAGUAAAAGGCCUAGAGCCGGAAGCGAUUUUAGAAACCAAUUGCGCUCCGUAAAAAAAUCUCAAUAUCGAAUUCGUUUAGAAGAAAAACAAAAAUUGCGUUUUCAUUAUGGUCUUACAGAACGACAAUUACUUAAAUAUGUUCGUAUCGCCAGAAAAGCCAAAGGGUCAACCGGUCUGGUUUUACUACAAUUACUUGAAAUGCGUUUGGAUAACAUUCUUUUUCGAUUGGGUAUGGCUUCAACUAUUCCUCAAGCCGCCAAUUGGUUAACCAUCGACAUAUUUUAGUUAAUGGUCGUAUAGUCGAUAUACCAAGUUAUCGUUGCAAACCCCGAGAUAUUAUUACAGUAAGGAUGACCCAAAAUCUAGAUCUCUGGUUCAAAAUUAUCUUGAUUCAUCCCACCAUGAGGAAUUGCCAAAGCAUUUGACUCUUCGCGCAUUCCAAUAUAAAGGAUUAGUCAAUCAAAUAAUAGAUAGUCAAUGGGUCGGUUUGAAAAUAAAUGAAUUGCUUGUCGUAGAAUAUUAUUCUCGUCAAACUUAAACCUAACUAAAAUAACGGGCUCGUACAAAUUUACCCUUUCACCUAACUUAAGGAAAGGGAUACAAGGUAAGGAGUUUGAUCCGUGGAGUUUUUUUUAUCCCAUUCAUGUAUCAUAGAUCCGAGGGUAGAUUUUUAUCCCCUGCCUGCCCCUUCCCUUUCUUUCCCGUAGGAAUUGAGAAUCUAGCUCAAAAAAAGGUCUGACUGCUUCGGUAUUCAUUCUUUUUUGCUUGGAUACAUUCCGGUCAGUAACAUUGAUGAAUUAGUUCAAGGUACGGAAAGAGAGGGAUUCGAACCCCCGGUAAACAAAAGUCUACAUAGCAGUUCCAAUGCUACGCCUUGAACCACUCGGCCAUCUUCUCCUACACAAUGAUUAUGACCGAGAACCCGCGUGAAUUAGCGAGUUGUUCAAAUUCGAUUGGUAGAUGGGUACGGACAAUCGAAUCCGUUCUAACUAGAAAAAUAGAAACCCUUUCAGCAAAGAAAAAAUUCUUCCUUUGAGUCUGGGGAAAAGGAUAACUUUUUUGUUUGUGAAAAACUGUUCAAAAACAAAAAACAAUUAAGGCUAUAAUAUCUUGUUUGCAAAGAUGGCGCUCCUUUUUUUUUUUUUUCUGAUAUUUCUACCUGAUUUAAUCAAUGAGUUGGAACGAAAUCAACGGAUCGGUCUAUUUUUUUUUUUAUUUUUUUUAACACGUCUGCUUUUAUGUUAUUUUGUACUGUACAAUUCCUUUGUUUGUGGGAUCAUUUUCUCACAAGAGGUAAUGAAACGAAUUAUAGAAUGGAUUUUUACCUAUGCCUAGAUCGCGGAUAAACGGAAAUUUUAUUGAUAAGACCUUUUCGAUUUGUAGCCAAUAUAUUAUUACGAAUAAUUCCGACAACUGUAGGAGAAAAAGAGGCAUUUACCUAUUACAGAGAUGGUGCGAUUUGAUUAGUUUUUUAUUUACCCCUUUCGGUCUUAGAAGAAAGAAAGACAAUUCGGGAUAGAAAAAAAAAAAAAAAAGAUUAUUGAAAAAAUCUACGCUUGUUUGAAGGUGAAGUUUAUAGAUAAAACCAUUCCUUCUGUCGUGUAUCCCCGAUUAAUGCAGCCUCAGAUGCUUCAAUUGUCGAUUCUAGUAUUGAGCGAAAGGUUACACCUAUGGGUUCUGUAUGCAAGUCAACCCUACUACACCAGUACCAAUAGGCGGCAUAGGGGAAGAGGCGCUACGUCUAGGAAUCAGCAACACGAAAACUUUGUUAUAAGCUGCCCCCUUUCCUUAGCGGGAUCGGGACUAAGAAGAAUGGUUGGAUAACAAACAUCCAUCUCGUUCGUACUGUGGAUACCGUAUAACCAUCGAAGACUGUUGAAGUGAUUAAUUCCUGUAAAUUAAGGGGCGUUGAGAACAAAGAAAAUUGUUGGAGGUUUCCGGUUUUUAUCUAGUACCAACACGCGUGAUAUUAAGAAAAAAGCUUUUGCAGGAAGGUUGGCUAGAGAUUUCUUGUAAAAACAUUAGCCCCACUUAGUUCAUAAUGAGAAUAUUUCAAUCUUUUUUGAUUCAUGGAUUAUUCUCAUAAUGCACAUAAAGGAGGAGCCGUAUGAGAUUUUCAUCUCAUGUACGGUUUUGAAACGGAGAAUUCUUUGAAUCGAAUGACGACCGUAACGGAUGUCAGCUCAAUCUGAAGGCAAUUAUGCGGAAGCUUUACAGAAUUAUUAUGAAGCUAUGCGACUAGAAAUUGAUCCUUACGAUCGAAGCUAUAUACUCUAUAACAUAGGCCUUAUCCACACAAGUAACGGAGAACAUACAAAAGCUUUAGAAUAUUAUUUUCGGGCACUAGAACGAAAUCCGUUCUUACCACAAGCUUUUAAUAAUAUGGCUGUGAUCUGUCAUUACGUCGACUAUCUCUACUAUAGAAAGAAAAAAGUAAAAGAAAAAAAAAAGGAGGGGGGUAAAGAGCAAAAUACACUAAUAAAUACUCGAAAAAAAAAAUAGGCUUUCUACAUAUGCAUCGUGCAAAAACGAUUUUUAUCAGCUGUAGCAAAGAAAAGAAACUUCAUAGAAGUCGAAAUAUGAAGAAAUCGAUAUGCCUAGAUAGUUUAUUCUAAUGGAUAAAGGAUCUAAUUGAUAGAGGAAGCACCGUAAAGAUCAAUUCGCGAGGUUUUGGGCCGAUGCCGAUCCAAUAAGAACUGCUUAUUUAUGUCAUGAUAUGAGAUAAAAGUAAGGAAUCCACUUAUGUAAUAAAGUCGAUCCCCUAAGGUAUUGAGCAGCGGUGUAGCAUCAGAUCCCAAAGACAGUAAGCCUUUUCUUUCUUAGGAAGAAAGGGCUUUUUCAAAGAUUCUAUAUCAAUUUUUAUAUGAAACCGAGAUAGAUACCUUCUCAGAAAAUUCUAACUAUAGUGGAAAUGCUUCUAUGUUAUUCUUCUGACGGUGGAGAAAAGAUAAAAUGAAAGCAAAGCUGAUUAUUAAUUUAAUCAAAAGUCAAGUUUGAAACUCAUGCUCAUGGAAUUAACCUCUUUUGGUUAACCCCCCAAAAAAAAGAAUAAAGAUAAAGAUCGAUCUAUGAGAAAUCUCAUUCAAUUCGAUAUACUAGAUUCAAAACCCGGGACACCAAAAGAAUUGAUUGCCGAGCCGUAUGAGGCGGGAAACUCUCAAGUACGGUUCUAAGGAAAGGAAUUGAACCACCUAUUCCGACCGGGGGAACAGGCCGUUCGACAGGGAGAUUCUGAAAUUGCGGAGCUUGGUUCAAUCAAGCUGCCGAGUAUUGGAAACAAGCUAUUGCGCUUACUCCUGGUAAUUAUAUUCAAGCGCAGAUUGGUUGAAGAUCACGGGACGUUUCGAAUAAGAAACUCUCUGUUUAUUUAUUUAGAAUUUUAUUUCUUUAGAAUUUCGAUAUCUAUUUUCGUUUGGUAUAAUUAAAAAUUAAUUGUCUGUUAGCCCCUAUCAGUGGAAUAUAAAAGGGAUCAUUUAUCUGGUAAGAAACAAUCAAGGAAUUUCAUUAUAUUCCUUUUCUAAGAUCGUUCUAUUUCGUCUGGUAUUUCAUAAGGAUAAACGAUACAGGGAUACGGUAGAAAAUGUAUUUUUCU
rnacentral:lncRNA from 1 species